CUCUCUUUGCCUGCCACCAACCAUGUAAGAUAUGAUUUGCUCCUCCUUGCCUUCCACCAUGAUUGUGAGGCCUCCCCAGCCACGUGGAACUGUGAGUCCAAUUAGACCUCUUUCUUUUGUAGAUUGCCCAGUCUUGGGUAUGUCUUUGUCAGCAGUGUGAAAAUGGACUAAUACAAAGGGAUAUUGGUUAUAGGUAACUUAGAUAGCAAGCAGAUAAAAGGUACAAUUGAGAUGACAAGCCCUUUUUCAAGAAUAGCUGUUAUGCUUUGAUUUGUUUAGGUGGCUAGGACAUCAUGUUAAUGAAGUCAAGACUAUGGCCCCAUCUCUAGAGGCCAAAGCUUGAAACAGCAAAUAGAAAGACCUUUCCAAGCCACUACCCUUAGCAUUGAUGGCAAGGGUCUGGGUGAGAAAAUCCCUCUUGUCCACUAAACGGAAAUCAACUUGAAGCAUGUUGCCAACAGAUAUAUCAGCUUUCUCCAGGAAGAAAUGGCACUGAUGCUCCUAGACUGGAUUUCUCAUCCUCUAAGUCAGGCCUGGUAUGCUAACUUCAUCUAUGUUUUAAAUAAAGUAACAUAUAACAGGUCUUUAAUUAAUAAGGUUAGCUGGAGCAUGGUAUGGGAUCAGCAUGUUGGAAAUUAAUUUAUAUAAGAAAGUUUUAAUAAAUCAGUUUGCCUAAAUUUAUAACAAAUGAAAAUAGGUUCAUGAAAACUAGGACAUUAAAAAAGUAGUUAAUGAAAAUAUAAUGCAGAAGGUGCUACUAUUAUGAAGGAAGGAAAUAUCUCUUACGGUGAGUGAGUAUAGAAACUGCUU
rnacentral:lncRNA from 1 species